AAAUAAGAAGCAAAUUAUUGCAACUAGUUUCGACCUAGUCCUUGAUCUUAAAAUCCUUAUUUA
rnacentral:tRNA from 1 species